rnacentral:rRNA from 1 species
AUGCAGUCGAGCGGACAGAAGGGAGCUUGCUCCCGGAUGUUAGCGGCGGACGGGUGAGUAACACGUGGGUAACCUGCCUGUAAGACUGGGAUAACUCCGGGAAACCGGAGCUAAUACCGGAUAGUUCCUUGAACCGCAUGGUUCAAGGAUGAAAGACGGUUUCGGCUGUCACUUACAGAUGGACCCGCGGCGCAUUAGCUAGUUGGUGAGGUAACGGCUCACCAAGGCGACGAUGCGUAGCCAACCUGAGAGGGUGAUCGGCCACACUGGGACUGAGACACGGCCCAGACUCCUACGGGAGGCAGCAGUAGGGAAUCUUCCGCAAUGGACGAAAGUCUGACGGAGCAACGCCGCGUGAGUGAUGAAGGUUUUCGGAUCGUAAAGCUCUGUUGUUAGGGAAGAACAAGUGCAAGAGUAACUGCUUGCACCUUGACGGUACCGGGCCAGACAGCCACGGCGAACUACGUGAAAGCAUCCACACUAAUACGUGUGUGGCAAGCGUUGUCCGGAAAUAUCGGGCGUACAGGGCUCGGAGGGGGUCUCUUAAGUCUCAUGUGAAUGCCCCCUCGCGCAACCGGGCACGGUCAGUGGAAACUGGGAAACUUUGAGUGCCGAAAAAUGAGAGUGGAAAUCCACGCUGAGCGGUGAAAUGCGUAGAGAUGUGGAGGAACACCAGUGGCGAAGGCGACUCUCUGGUCUGUAACUGACGCUGAGGAGCGAAAGCGUGGGGAGCGAACAGGAUUAGAUACCCUGGUAGUCCACGCCGUAAACGAUGAGUGCUAAGUGUUAGGGGGUUUCCGCCCCUUAGUGCUGCAGCUAACGCAUUAAGCACUCCGCCUGGGGAGUACGUGCGCAAGAGGAAUUCACAUGAGAAUUAAGAAACCCCCUCCACAGCCCGUUACGCCCGGUUUAUUGAGAAGCAACGCGAAGUACGUAACCAGGUCUUGACAUCCUCGGACAACCCCAGAGAUAUGGCUUUCCGUUCGGGGAAAGAGCGACCGGUGGUGCAUGGUCGUCGUCAGCUCGUGUCGUGAGAUGUUGGGUUAAGUCCCGCAACGAGCGCAACCCUUGAUUUUAGUUGCCAGCAUUCAGUUGGGCACUCUAAGGUGACUGCCGGUGACAAACCGGAGGAAGGUGGGGAUGACGUCAAAUCAUCAUGCCCCUUAUGACCUGGGCUACACACGUGCUACAAUGGACAGAACAAAGGGCUGCGAGACCGCAAGGUUUAGCCAAUCCCACAAAUCUGUUCUCAGUUCGGAUCGCAGUCUGCAACUCGACUGCGUGAAGCGGGAAUCGCUAGUAAUCGCGGAUCAGCAUGCCGCGGUGAAUACGUUCCCGGGCCUUGUACACACCGCCCGUCACACCACGAGAGUUUGCAACACCCGAAGUCGGUGAGGUAACCUUUAGGAGCC